rnacentral:rRNA from 1 species
UAAUACGUAGGGGGCAAGCGUUGUCCGGAAUUAUUGGGCGUAAAGCGCGCGCAGGCGGCCGUUUAAGUCUGGUGUUUAAGCCCGGGGCUCAACCCCGGUUCGCACGGGAAACUGGACGGCUUGAGUGCAGGAGAGGGAAGUGGAAUUCCACGUGUAGCGGUGAAAUGCGUAGAGAUGUGGAGGAACACCAGUGGCGAAGGCGACUUCCUGGCCUGUAACUGACGCUGAGGCGCGAAAGCGUGGGGAGCAAACAGGAUUAGAUACCCUGGUAGUCCACGCCGUAAACGAUGAGUGCUAGGUGUUAGGGGUUUCGAUACCCUUGGUGCCGAAGUUAACACAGUAAGCACUCCGCCUGGGGAGUACGGUCGCAAGACUGAA